UUCAGUCUUUUGUUUUCACAGAAGAAGACAAGGCAUUUGUGGGUUGUCAAGAUUUAUUAAUCACCUGAUGAAAUUGUAGAUGAAGCUUAGUGAAUUCUCUGUGUUUCUGCUGCUGGUCUGCAUCUCUCUGCAGAGAGCUGACAGCCAUUUACCUAACUUCAGUCCUGGAACUCCCCCUCUGCAGGUAAAUGCUUCAAACAUCGCCUCAGCUGUCAAGGAAAACAUCUUCAGACGACUUCCUGGACUUUGUCGGCGUUUGAAGAGACGCAGAGUCACUGUCCUGUGUAACUUGGAGAAGUUCUGUU